AAGCAACUCAGGAUCAAAGCUUCACCAUGCUCACACAUUGCUGCAAAUUAACAACAACCUUAAACUUUUGGCAAGAACUUCUAAAAUAUUUGAAAAUUAUCUUCCUGUCUCUCACCUCACACAUAUCCUUUAAGUGCUCCAUCCCGCAGCAGACACAGUACAAAGCAGAGCAAAAAGAUUUCCUGCGUCUUGCUGGAGCAGUAGACUUCAUAUGUAUUUCCUUAAACCUCUUUUUUGCUCAACUCCCAUUGUUUUCUGCAAUAAUGUGAUGAGUCAUAUGUAGCAUGACUGUCUUUCCUACCUAUAAUGCCAACAUAAAACUUCUUCCCAAUUCUUCAUGUACGCAUUUGAUUUUUUUUUUACUGCACCCCA